rnacentral:tRNA from 1 species
AUUUAUUUAGCUUAGUUGGUCAAUUUUAAAGCCUCAAAUCCUUUUGGUCCUAAGUUCAAAUCUUAGAUUCAACA